ACAUAGCCUUUAGCCGUAUUAGUAUUAAAGGUAACGCCUGCCCAGUGAUAACAUUUCAACGGCCGCGGUAUCCUAACCGUGCAAAGGUAGCGCAAUCACUUGUUCUUUAAAUAAGGACUAGUAUGAACGGCGACAUGAGGAUCAUCUUGUCUCUCACGCUAAGUCAAUGAAACUGAUCUCCCGGUUCAAAAGCCGAGAUACUACCACAAGACGAGAAGACCCUGUGGAGCUUCAAAUUACGCCUCAUAUAAGCCUGAGACCGUAAUUUUUGGUUGGGGCGACCUUGGAGCAAAACAAAACCUCCAAAAAAUCUUAAUUUUAGGCCAUCACGCCGCAAUAUCUUAAACUACUUCGACCCAAUAUAAUUGAUCAAUGAACCAAGUUACCCCAGGGAUAACAGCGCAAUCUUCUUUUAGAGUCCCUAUCGACAAGAAGGUUUACGACCUCGAUGUUGGAUCCGGAUACCCAAAUGGUGCAGCCGCUAUUAAAGGUUCGUUUGUUCAACGAUUAAUAAUCCCACGUGAUCUGAGUUCAGACCGG
rnacentral:rRNA from 1 species